rnacentral:rRNA from 1 species
UUUGAAGAGAGAGUUCAAGAGUACGUGAAACUGCUCAGAGGUAAACGGGUGGGCCCUCGAAAUCCAGUCGCGGGGGGAUUCAGUCGGGAGGGCGGGAGAUGACCACAGUCGACGGACCGGACGCCGAAGCAGCGUCGGGCCGCGGUCAUUGUCUCUCGUUCCGCCCGACGCACUUCCCCCCGCGCUGCGGACGCCGCAGCCCGCCGGGGGCCGGCCAUGAGGACGCGCACUGGCAGGUGGCGGGCGCUCGUCUCCACUAGAGUCGUGCGCCCGUAAAUAGCCGGCGCGUUCCGGGCGCGGUACCCGGCGGAGGUCGAUGCUCCCCAGUCCCGGGGAGCGAGCCGUCCCCUCGAAGUUCGAGCAGGCACCGCCUCAGGCGUUGCGCGCUGAGACCGGAGACUCACCCCUGCGCGGUGACCGCCGGAGCGUGCUCGCCGUUGUCGUGGCGGGCGUCCUGCCAGGGAUCUACGACGGCUGGCGGCGAGUAGGUCGGUAACCCACCCGGCCCGUCUUGAAACACGGACCAAGGAGUCUAACAUGCGCGCGAGUCGGCGGGUCUUGAAYAGGCCCGCAGGCGAAAUGAAAGUGAAGGCGCCGCCCUAGUCGCGCGUCGAGUUGGGAUCCCCUUUUARAAGGGGCGCACCAACGGCACGUCCGUUCCGAUUUAUCGGUCGGGCGUAGCGAGAGCGUACACGUUGGGACCCGAAAGAUGGUGAACUAUGCGUGGGCAGGGUGAAGUCAGGGGAAACCCUGGUGGAAGCCCGCAGCG